rnacentral:rRNA from 1 species
AUUGAACGCUGGCGGCAUGCUUUACACAUGCAAGUCGAACGGUAACAGGCUGCAAGGUGCUGACGAGUGGCGAACGGGGGAGUAAUGCAUCGGAACGUGCCCAGUCGUGGGGGAUAACUACUCGAAAGAGUAGCUAAUAUCGCAUACUAUCUAUGGAUGAAAGCGGGGGACCGUAAGGCCUCGUGCGAUUGGAGCGGCCUAUGUCAGAUUAGGUAGUUGGUGGGGUAAAGGCUCACCAAGCCAACGAUCUGUAGCUGGUCUGAGAGGACGACCAGCCACACUGGGACUGAGACACGGCCCAGACUCCUACGGGAGGCAGCAGUGGGGAAUUUUGGACAAUGGGCGCAAGCCUGAUCCAGCAAUGCCGCGUGCAGGAAGAAGGCCUUCGGGUUGUAAACUGCUUUUGUACGGAACGAAACGGCUCUGGUUAAUACCCGGGGCUAAUGACGGUACCGUAAGAAUAAGCACCGGCUAACUACGUG